UACAGAGGUCUCAAGCGUUGUUCGGAUUCAUUGGGCGUAAAGGGUGCGUAGGCGGCGCGGUAAGUCGGGUGUGAAAUCUUGGAGCUUAACUCCGAAACUGCAUUCGAUACUGCCGUGCUUGAGGACUGGAGAGGAGACUGGAAUUUACGGUGUAGCGGUGAAAUGCGUAGAUACCACCCAGAACUCCGAUUGCGAAGGCAGCCUACUGGAGGUUAACCGACGCUCAGGCACGAAAGCGUGGGGAUCAAACAGG
rnacentral:rRNA from 1 species